rnacentral:rRNA from 1 species
UUACAAUGGAGAGUUUGAUCCUGGCUCAGGAUGAACGCUAGCGGCAGGCCUAAUACAUGCAAGUCGAGGGGGCAGCAAUGUCACCGGCGCACGGGUGCGUAACACGUUUGAAAUCUGCCAUAAACAGGGGAAUAGCCCGCCGAAAGGCGGAUUAAUACCGCAUAUGCCG